rnacentral:rRNA from 1 species
CCUACGGGGGGCAGCAGUAGGGAAUAUUGCUCAAUGGGGGAAACCCUGAAGCAGCAACGCCGCGUGGAGGAUGAAGGUUUUCAGAUUGUAAACUCCUUUUGUUAGAGAAGAUAAUGACGGUAUCUAACGAAUAAGCACCGGAUAACUCCGUGCCAGCAGCCGCGGUAAUACGGAGGGUGCAAGCGUUACUCGGAAUCACUGGGCGUAAAGAGCGCGUAGGCGGGAUAGCAAGUCAGAUGUGAAAUCCUAGGGCUUAACCAUAGAACGGCAUUUGAAACUGUUAUUCUAGAGUAUGGGAGAGGUAGGUGGAAUUCUUGGUGUAGGGGUAAAAUCCGUAGAGAUCAAGAGGAAUACUCAUUGCGAAGGCGACCUGCUAGAACAUAACUGACGCUGAUGCGCGAAAGCGUGGGGAGCAAACAGGAUUAGAUACCCCGGUAGUC